CUCUGUGACUCCUACGGGAGGCAGCAGUGGGGAAUAUUGCACAAUGGGCGCAAGCCUGAUGCAGCAACGCCGCGUGAGUGAUGAAGGCCUUCGGGUCGUAAAGCUCUGUCCUCAAGGAAGAAUAAAUGACGGUACUUGAGGAGGAAGCCCCGGCUAACUACGUGCCAGCAGCCGCGGUAAUACGUAGGGGGCAAGCGUUAUCCGGAAUCACUGGGCGUAAAGGGUGCGUAGGCGGUUUUUCAAGUCAGAAGUGAAAGGCUAUGGCUCAACCAUAGUAAGCUUUUGAAACUGUUAAACUUGAGUGCAGGAGAGGAAAGUGGAAUUCCUAGUGUAGAGGUGAAAUUCGUAGAUAUUAGGAGGAACACCAGUGGCGAAGGCGACUUUCUGGACUGUAACUGACGCUGAGGCACGAAAGCGUGGGGAGCGAACAGGAUUAGAUACCCUGGUAG
rnacentral:rRNA from 1 species